CCUACGGGGGGCAGCAGUGAGGAAUAUUGGUCAAUGGGCGGAAGCCUGAACCAGCCAAGUCGCGUGAGGGAUUAAGGCCCUGCGGGUCGUAAACCUCUUUUGCCGGGGAGCAGAGGUCCGGACGUGUCCGGGCCGGGGGAGUCCCCGGGGAAAAAGCAUGGGCUAACUCCGUGCCAGCAGCCGCGGUAAUACGGAGGAUGCGAGCGUUAUCCGGAUUUAUUGGGUUUAAAGGGUGCGUAGGCGGGCAUUUAAGCCGGCGGUCAAAUGUCGGGGCUCAACCCCGGCCUGCCGUCGGAACUGGGUGCCUUGAGUGGGCGAGAAGUAGGCGGAAUGCGUGGUGUAGCGGUGAAAUGCAUAGAUAUCACGCAGAACCCCGAUUGCGAAGGCAGCAUACCGGCGCCCGACUGACGCUGAGGCACGAAAGUGCGGGUAUCGAACAGGAUUAGAUACCCCUGUAGUC
rnacentral:rRNA from 1 species